CCCAAAUCCCGUGGGUUCUCGUUAUGUGAUCUUUGCCGCGCUCUGCCUCGGCAUCGCACUGCCGUGUCAUAGCAACCGCAGCUUCCCUUGGAAACGAAACGGUUACCCCGGUAACAGCGCGCACCUGCUGCUGCUGUUUCACUUCUGGAGACGCACGCAGACAAAACGAUGGUCGGAAAUGUAUUGGGACAUUUGUCUACGAUGUUGUUUUUCUAAAAUGUUCCGAAAUCUCCCGGUGAGGUUUUAACGACCUCACAGCCGAGUUUGUGCCGCUUAUUGCGUCUCGACGCUCGUGGACAUUUUGUGUCUCGGCUGCUAACGAUAAACGCGCGUGAAUACUGACAGAGAAAAACAGAGCAAAGCCCGGCUGUGGAGACGGAGGAACUAGAGCCAAAAGAGGAAGAAAAGUCGCAGCAGACCACCGCCUCUCCACCUCCAAGUCCUGAACCAGUUCAGAUUGCUGCGCCGGAACCAGAACCAGAACCAGAACCAGAACCAGAACCAGAGCCAGAGGUCGAGCCCCAGGAAGCGCACUCAGAAGCCGAGCCUGUGACCCAGCAGCCACAGAGAGCAGAGGAAGGCGGUCAAAGCACUGAGGCGGACAAAGCUGGUGAAAAAUUUUACUUUACCCUACAUCCUUGACCAGCAUCAACAUGGCAGAUAACAUCUUCUGCCGUACAACCCUUUCCACCAGUUAUACCUAUAAUCAUUAUCUUAUCUUAUCAAAUGAUCUAGCCAUGGGACUCUGACAUGUUUAGCCCAUGCAGGACCGAAGGGAGAAACCAAUUCAUGUAAUUGAAUAGCUUCAGGCUCAUUCAAAUUCAUACGUACG
ensembl:lncRNA